rnacentral:misc_RNA from 1 species
CAACCCUCAAGCCCCCGUGGUUUGGUGUUGGGGACCGGCGAUCCUCGCUGCCUGGCAGCGCCGGCGCCGCCCCCGAAAUGAAUUGGCGGUCUCGUCGCGGCCUCCUCUGCGUAGUAGCACAACCUCGCAACAGGAGCGCGACGCGGCCACUGCCGUAAAACGCCCCAACUUUUUCAAG